rnacentral:rRNA from 1 species
GAUGAACGCUGUCGGCGUGCCUAAUACAUGCAAGUCGAGCGAACGGACGAGAAGCUUGCUUCUCUGAUGUUAGCGGCGGACGGGUGAGUAACACGUGGAUAACCUACCUAUAAGACUGGGAUAACUUCGGGAAACCGGAGCUAAUGCCGGAUAAUAUUUUGAACCGCAUGGUUCAAAAGUGAAAGACGGUCUUGCUGUCACUUAUAGAUGGAUCCGCGCUGCAUUAGCUAGUUGGUAAGGUAACGGCUUACCAAGGCAACGAUGCAUAGCCGACCUGAGAGGGUGAUCGGCCACACUGGAACUGAGACACGGUCCAGACUCCUACGGGAGGCAGCAGUAGGGAAUCUUCCGCAAUGGGCGAAAGCCUGACGGAGCAACGCCGCGUGAGUGAUGAAGGUCUUCGGAUCGUAAAACUCUGUUAUUAGGGAAGAACAUAUGUGUAAGUAACUGUGCACAUCUUGACGGUACCUAAUCAGAAAGCCACGGCUAACUACGUG